rnacentral:tRNA from 1 species
GCCUGGGUGGCUCAGUCGGUUGAGCGUCCGACUUCGGCUCGGGUCAUGAUCUGACGGUUCGUGAGUUCGAGCCCCGCGUCGGGCU